rnacentral:rRNA from 1 species
UUCAAGAUUCUAAGAGCAAACGGUGGAUGCCUUGGCAUCUGGAGCCGAAGAAGGACGUAUAAAUCUGCGAUAAGCCUCGGGGAGCUGAUAAUAGAGCUGUGAUCCGAGGAUCUCCGAAUGGGGAAACCCCGCCAGGCCCUUUGGGUGACCUGGUGACUCCCGCCUGAAUAUAUAGGGCGGGUUGAGGGAACGUGGGGAAGUGAAACAUCUCAGUACCCACAGGAAGAGAAAGCAAAAGCGAUUCCGUUAGUAGUGGCGAGCGAAACCGGAAGAGGCCAAACCGAUCAUGUGUGAUAUCCGGUAGGAGUUGCAUGGUCGGGGUUGCGGGACUUUCCGUACAGUUCUACCGAGCUGUGAGGGCAAUGAGCGCGAUAUAGACGAAUGGUCUUGAAAGGCCAGUCAUAGAGGGUGCGAACCCCGUAGUCGAAAUGUCGUCGCCUGUCCGGAGAGUAUCCCAAGUAGCACGGGGCCCGAGAAAUCCCGUGUGAAUCUGUCAGGACCACCUGAUAAGCCUAAAUACUCCCAGAUGACCGAUAGCGGACAAGUACCGUGAGGGA